UUGUCUCAACGACAGGGGAACCCAGAGAAGUUGUACCCAUGUACGUUUUAUUCUAAGAAACUGUCCCCUGCAGAGAGGAGCUAUGACGUCGGUGAUCGGGACCUCCUGGUGGUGAAGUUGGCAUUAGAGGAGUAUAGACACUGGCUUGAAGGCGCCAAGGAACCAUUCAUCAUCCUCACCGACCACAGGAAGCUGGAGUACAUUAGGAAAAGCGAGGAGGCUGAAUCCGCACCAAGUAAGGUGGCCGCUUUUCUUCACAAGGUUUAACUUCACGCUAACCUAUCGCUCAAAGAACACAAAGGCCGAUGCAUUGUCCCGCCUCUACGAUUCGGGAGAGGGCCCUGUCCUGAGUGAGCCAAAAAUCCCAUCCUCACGAGUCGUAGCUCCUGUGGUCUGGAACGGAGAUGUGGAGAUCCACCAGGCUCUGGAGAGUGAGCCCGCACCCCUGAACUGUCCUCCUGUACGCAUCUACGUUCCCACAGGGAUAAGGGAUCGGCUGCUGAUCUGGGCACACACAGCUGUCUCAGGACAUCCAGGUAUUUCUCACUCCAUUGCUGAGAAGUACUGGUGGCCCACGAUGGUGCAGGAUGUCAGUCGAUAUGUCAACUCCUGUUCCGUAUGUGCCUAAAAAAGUCUCCGCGGAAUGCCCCAGCAGGGAAGCUCCUACCAUUUCCCAUGCCUCAGCGACCUUGGUCUCAUCUAUCCAUUGACUUUGUAACCAAUCUCCCCUCCUCUGACAGGUUUCACCACCAUUCUUUGUGGCAGUGGAUAGAUUUUCUAAGUCAUGUCAUUUAGUUCCUCUUCCUGGUCUCCCCACUGCUCUCCAGAUUGCUGAGGCACUCGUCCAGCAGGUCUUCCAGCAUUAUGGCCUUCCGGAGGACAUUGUCUCUGACCGUGGCCUCCAAUUCAAAUCAGUUUGACGGCCUUCAUGGAGAAGCUCGGGGUCACGGUCAGCCUCACUUCCGGGUACCAGCCUCAGUCCAAUGGGCAGGUGGAGAGGAUGAACCAGGAGGUUCCUGAGGAGUCACUGUCUGGACCGGCAAGAUGGCCCUGGCUCCGUGGACUCCGGACCAGACCGAGGCUGCUGCGGUUGAGUGGUUCCGGCAUGCAGAACAAGUGUGGAGCGACGCUCACGUGAGACUCCAUCGUCGAAAAGAACAGGCAGACCGCCACCACAGUGAGACCCCUGUGUUCUAUCCUGGGGAUUGCGUCUGGCUCUUUACCAGGAACUUCACACUCUGCCUGCCCUGCAAGAAACGGAGCCCCCGAUUUGUGGGCCGGUGGUUCCUGGUCCCCUAACUGAUGCAGUCCCCCACGACACCCCACCACCCCCCCCCUGGACAUCGAGGGCAGUCCGGCGUAUGCUGUCAGAUUUCUGCUGGACACCCGGCGUCGUGGGGGGGUCGGCUCCAGUAUCUGGUAGACUGGAUGGGGUACGGCCCUUAGGAGCGGUGUUGGGACAUUCUGGAUCCCAACAUCAUCCGUGAUUUCCCAGGGUCCGUGCAUCAGAGGGGGGGUUACUUUCACAUCUGCUCCUCCCCUCCGGCGGGCGACAUUACCGGAAUACUAACCACUGGUCCUGGGACUCAUCAUGAUUCACACCUGGACCUCAUUACUUCCCCUUAUAGGUCCCUUCCUUUUGUUCAUUCCUCAGUUGGUAUUGAUCCUGGUUUAUGCGAUCUCGUCUUGUUUCAUGUUUUUCAUUUCAUUAAACUUUUCACCUGCACCUCC